UACGUAGGGUGCAAGCGUUGUCCGGAAUUAUUGGGCGUAAAGGGUCCGCAGGUGGCAGUGUAAGUCUGCUGUCAAAGAAUGAGGCUUAACCUCAUCAAGGCAGUGGAAACUACACAGCUAGAGUACGGUCGGGGUAGAAGGAAUUCCUGGUGUAGCGGUGAAAUGCGUAGAGAUCAGGAAGAACACCGGUGGCGAAAGCGUUCUGCUAGACCUGUACUGACACUGAGGGGCGAAAGCUAGGGGAGCGAAUGGG
rnacentral:rRNA from 1 species